rnacentral:rRNA from 1 species
AUUGAACGCUGGCGGCAGGCCUAACACAUGCAAGUCGAACGGUAACAGAAAGCAGCUUGCUGCUUUGUUGACGAGUGGCGGACGGGUGAGUAAUGUCUGGGAAACUGCCUGAUGGAGGGGGAUAACUACUGGAAACGGUAGCUAAUACCGCAUAACGUCGCAAGACCAAAGAGGGGGACCUUCGGGCCUCUUGCCAUCGGAUGUGCCCAGAUGGGAUUAGCUAGUAGGUGGGGUAAAGGCUCACCUAGGCGACGAUCCCUAGCUGGUCUGAGAGGAUGACCAGCCACACUGGAACUGAGACACGGUCCAGACUCCUACGGGAGGCAGCAGUGGGGAAUAUUGCACAAUGGGCGCAAGCCUGAUGCAGCCAUGCCGCGUGUAUGAAGAAGGCCUUCGGGUUGUAAAGUACUUUCAGCGGGGAGGAAGGGAGUAAAGUUAAUACCUUUGCUCAUUGACGUUACCCGCAGAAGAAGCACCGGCUAACUCCGUG